AAUCAACGCUGGCGGCGUGCCUAACACAUGCAAGUCGAACGAGAAAGUGGAGCAAUCCAUGAGUAAAGUGGCGACCGGGUGAGUAACACGUGACUAACCUACCUUCGAGUGGGGGAUAACCUCGGGAAACCGGGGCUAAUACCGCAUAACAUCUUUGGAGUGGAAAUUUCGGAGAUCAAAGGAGCAAUUCGCUGGAAGAGGGGGUCGCGGCUGAUUAGCUAGUUGGCGGGGUAACGGCCCACCAAGGCUUAGAUCGGUAGCCGGCCUGAGAGGGCGCACGGCCACACUGGAACUGAAACACGGUCCAGACUCCUACGGGAGGCAGCAGUGGGGAAUUUUGCGCAAUGGGGGGAAACCCUGACGCAGCGACGCCGCGUGGAGGAUGAAGUCCCUUGGGACGUAAACUCCUUUCGACCCGGACGAUAAUGACGGGUACGGGUGGAAGAACGCCCCGGCUAACUUCGUGACAGCAGCAG
rnacentral:rRNA from 1 species